rnacentral:sRNA from 1 species
CUUAUUUUGGCUAUUGGUUUAGCCACUGGCGCGUCUGAGUUUCCCAUUCAGGCGCCCAUCCACCGGGUCGCCUGCCACCGUUUUUCGAAACCCCCGGUCGGCCACCCGACCGGGGG